rnacentral:rRNA from 1 species
AAUUGGAGGGCAAGUCUGGUGCCAGCAGCCGCGGUAAUCCCAGCUCCAAUAGCGUAUAUUAAAGUUGUUGCAGUUAAAAAGCUCGUAGUUGAAUUUCGGGAUUGACGUGAUGGUCGUGCCUUAAGGGGUAUGAACUGUCGCAGUUGAUUUCUCACCUUCUGGAGAAGCAUGAUGUCCUUAAUUGGGUGUCAUGUGGAACCAGGACCUUUACCUUGAAAAAAUUAGAGUGUUUAAAGCAGGCAUUUUGCUCGAAUACAUUAGCAUGGAAUAAUAGAAUAGGACGGCAUGGUUCUAUUUUGUUGGUUUCUAGGAUCACCGUAAUGAUUAAUAGGGAUAGUUGGGGGCAUUAGUAUUCAAUUGUCAGAGGUGAAAUUCUUGGAUUUAUUGAAGACUAACUACUGCGAAAGCAUUUGCCAAGGAUGUUUUCAUUAAUCAAGAACGAAAGUUAGGGGAUCGAAGACGAUCAGAUACCGUCGUAGUCUUAACCAUAAACUAUGCCGACUAGGAAUCAGACGAUGUUAAUUUUUUAAUGACUCGUUUGGCACCUUACGGGAAACCAAAGUGU